rnacentral:rRNA from 1 species
CCUACGUGUGGCUGCAGUGAGGAAUAUUGGUCAAUGGUCGGGAGACUGAACAAGCCAAGCCGCGUGAGGGAUGAAGGUACAGAGUAUCGUAAACCUCUUUUGUCAGGGAACAAAGGCGGGGACGUGUCCCCGGAUGAGUUUACCUGAAGAAAAAGCAUCGGCUACCUCCGUGCCAGCAGCCGGGGUAAUACGGAGGAUGCGAGCGUUACCCGGAUGUAUUGGGUUUAAGGGGUGCGCAGGGGGACUGUUAAGUCAGCGGUAAAAGCCAGGGGCUCAACCCCGUGCCGCCGUUGAAACUGGCAGUCUCGAGUUGGAGAGAAGUAUGCGGAAUGCGCGGUGUAGCGGUGAAAUGCAUAGAUAUCGCGCAGAACUCCGAUUGCGAAGGCAGCAUGCCGGCUCCACACUGACGCUGAGGCACGAAAGCGUGGGUAUCGAACAGGAUUAGAUACCCUUGUAGUC